GACAAACCGAUGAGAAAGAGUAGUAGGUUUGAACACCGUCUUUCAAGAGAGCCGCAGGUGGUGCGAUUGCGGCAGACAGGCUCAUAUCGAAUGGACUUUCGAGGGCGGAGCGAAAAUGCAGAGCAUGAGUAGCGACCGACGGGGGCUUCACCCGUUAUCAGCGAAGAACGCAUGAUAGUGCGUUAAAUGAGUGGGCGAUAAUAUCGUCAAUCCGGGUGGUACCGCAGGAGUAAUUUAUCUCUUGUCCCUGAA
rnacentral:ncRNA from 1 species